rnacentral:rRNA from 1 species
GUUAUGCAAGUUGGUAGGGGAGCAUUCUAUUAUAGGGAGAAGCAUGACCGGAAGGACAUGUGGACGAGAUAGAAGAGAGAAUGCCGGAAUGAGUAGCGAGAAUUAUGUGAGAAUCAUAAUGGUCGAAAACCUAAGGUUUCUUGAGGAAGGUUCGUCCGCUCAAGGUAAGCCGGGAGCUAAGGCGAGGCCGAAAGGCGUAGUCGAUGCACAUACGGUAGAAAUUCCGUAGCCACCGAAAUUGUUAAGCACAGGGGCGCAGGAACAUAAUCCAACCGCGCCGAUGGUCGAGUGCGGCGAAAGGGAGCGAAAAUUAAGUAGCGAAGUGGAUGAUUGUACACUGACGAGAAAAGCUGUGUGGGUUGAUGAGGUGCCCGUACCGUAAACCGACACAGGUGGGUGAGGAGAGAAUCCUAAGACCAGCGGGAGAAGUGUUGUUAAGGAACUCGGCAAAUUGACCCCGUAACUUCGGGAAAAGGGGUGCCUGCUAGCGCAGGCCGCAGAGAAUAGGCCCAAGCGACUGUUUAGCAAAAACACAGGUCUCUGCUAAAUCGAAAGAUGAAGUAUAGGGGCUGACGCCUGCCCGGUGCCGGAAGGUUAAGAGGAGGACUUAGCGCAAGCGAAGGUCUGAAUUGAAGCCCCGGUAAACGGCGGCCGUAGCUAUAACGGUCCUAAGGUAGCGAAAUUCCUUGUCAGGUAAGUUCUGACCCGCACGAAUGGCGUAACGAUUUGGGCACUGUCUCAACAACACACCCGGUGAAAUUGUAGUACCGGUGAAGAUGCCGGUUACCCGCGACUAGACGGAAAGACCCCAUGGAGCUUUACUGUAACUUGAUAUUGGAUUUUGGUAAUGCAUGUACAGGAUAGGUGGGAGACUGAGAAGCACAGACGCCAGUUUGUGUGGAGUCAAUGUUGGGAUACCACUCUUGUGAUACUGGAAUUCUACCUGCGGCCGUGAAACCGGUCGGGGGACAAUGUCUGGUGGACAGUUUGACUGGGGCGGUCGCCUCCUAAAGAGUAACGGAGGCGUUCAAAGGUUAGCUCAGUACGGUCAGAAAUCGUACGAAGAGUGCAAACGCAAAAGCAAGCCUAACUGCGAGACGAACAGGUCGAGCAGUAACGAAAGUUGGAGUUAGUGAUCCGGCGGUAAGAGAGUGGAAUUGCCGUCGCUCAACGGAUAAAAGCUACCCUGGGGAUAACAGGCUGAUCUCCCCCAAGAGUCCAUAUCGACGGGGAGGUUUGGCACCUCGAUGUCGGCUCAUCGCAUCCUGGAGCUGGAGUCGGUUCCAAGGGUUGGGCUGUUCGCCCAUUAAAGCGGUACGCGAGCUGGGUUCAGAACGCCGCGAGACAGUUCGGUCCCUAUCUGUCGCGGGCGCAGGAAAUUUGAAGGGAGCUGUCCUUAGUACGAGAGGACCGGGAUGGACGUACCACUGGUGUACCAGUUGUCUUGCCAAAGGCACGGCUGGGUAGCUAAGUACGGAAGGAAUAAACGCUGAAGGCAUCUAAGCGUGAAGUCCCCCCUAAGAUAAGAUUUCCCAUUCUUUAAAAGAAGUAAGACCCCACGUAGACUAUGUGGUUGAUAGGUCGGAGGUGUAAGUGUGGUAACACAUUAAGCUGACCGAUACUAAUAGGUCGAGGGCUUGACCG